AAAAAAGAAAGGAAAUAUCUUCCGUUUGGAUGUGAGCGAAACAAAAAAGGCGAGAAAAUAAAGAGGGAAAGGAAAGGUGAAGAAAAAAGAAAGGAAAAAUCUUCCAUAGAAACAAACCUAGUGUUGGGUCUCAAGUCUCAACAAUCCAUCGUCUCUGCUCCAAAGAUCUUGCCUGUAAUUCAGCGUCUCUCUUUAUUACGAAGAAAGAUAUUUGGCUUUGGUUAUUAAUUGAUGCUAUGAGCGAAAUUUAUUGCCAUUUUUGCGAAUUAGGUUUACAUUGAAAUGCUAAGCAGAAUGGCUUUGUUGAGAUUUGGCGAAGGAACUGCUGUUUGACGGAGCUAAUGAAGUUCUUCUUUGAUGCUUUUUCAGCAUGCUUUGUUUGAGACCUCCUCUGCCAAUCAUCUCAAGUAGAUUGGAAGUGACAAAAUUUUCCAAGGAUACUAGCAGUCUGGUGGUAAGCUUAUUUAACCGAUAAUUUUUUUAUAUAUAAUGUUCAUGAAUGAAGGUCUGUUUGAUGGUGGAGCAGUGAGACGACUUCUUGGUUUUGUUUCUACUAAGAUUUCCUGGCACUUGUUAUAGAAUUAUUAGCUACUGUUCAGGUAUGCGCUUUAAAAGGUCCACGACAAAGAUAUCCUCGGGUAUGGAAAUCGAAAAAGAGAAUUGGGACAAUCUCCAAAUCAGCCAAGCUUGUUGAUUGCAUAAAGGGGUUGUCAAAUGUCAAGGAGGAAGUGUAUGGGGCACUUGAUUCCUUUGUUGCUUGGGAAUUGGAGUUCCCUCUAGUUGCUGUUAAGAAAGCAUUGAAGACUCUUGAGAAUGAACAGGAAUGGAAGAGGAUAAUUCAGGUAAUAAAGUGGAUGCUGAGCAAAGGCCAAGGACAGACAAUGGGAACAUACUUCACGUUACUCAAUGCUUUAGCAGAGGAUGGGAGGCUUGAUGAAGCUGAAGAGCUUUGGACAAAAUUAUUUUCAGACAACUUAGAAAGCAUGCCGCGCAUUUUCUUUAAUAAAAUGAUUGCUAUUUAUUACAAGAGGGAUAUGCAUGAGAAGAUGUUCGAGAUAUUUGCUGACAUGGAGGAGCUCGGUGUCCAACCAAAUGUUGCCAUUGUUAAUAUGAUGGGAAGUGCAUUCAAGAAGCUGGGUAUGCUGGACAAAUACGACAAAUUAAAGAAGAAAUAUCCACCACCGAAAUGGGAAUAUCGGUACAUCAAAGGAAAGCGUGUUAGGAUUCGAGCAAAGAAUGUUGAUGAAUUGGAUGCAGCUAAUGAAGAUGUAAACAGGGAUAAGGAAAUUUCCCCCAUUUCAAAUGAAUCGGAUGAAGAAGUGGAUACAAGCUUGCAUGAAGUUAAUGUUGAAGCUACGUGUUCUUGAGCUGUUAGAAGCUUGCCAUUAUUAAUUUGCAUCCUCCUUAUCCACCAGGAUUUAGGUAAAUUUACGGAGAACACAAUCGGGCAUCAAGGGUCGAAAGAGUUCCAUUUAUAUUCUUUCAAUGUGAGAUGAGUAGAUUGUAAACCCUCGCUGGUCUCUAAAGAAACAUGUUUUGUAACGAGUGCGAGGAGUUAAAUUAUGCCGUUCCAUCCUUUAUCUACGAGAAAUUUAGUUGUAUUUGCCUUUUUGAAAAAAACAAAAAUCUAAUUUGCAUAUAAAAAUAUGAAUUUUGAUUUUAAGGGGUUGACGGUUUCCGAUGCUCGUGUUUAUUCGAUGGCUGCUCUCCCGUGGCUUUUUUAAUUAUCUUCUGG
rnacentral:misc_RNA from 1 species